AGUGAACGCUGGCGGUAGGCCUAACACAUGCAAGUCGAACGGCAGCACAGUAAGAGCUUGCUCUUACGGGUGGCGAGUGGCGGACGGGUGAGGAAUACAUCGGUAUCUACUUUUUCGUGGGGGAUAACGUAGGGAAACUUACGCUAAUACCGCAUACGACCUACGGGUGAAAGCAGGGGAUCUUCGGACCUUGCGCGAUUGAAUGAGCCGAUGUCGGAUUAGCUAGUUGGCGGGGUAAAGGCCCACCAAGGCGACGAUCCGUAGCUGGUCUGAGAGGAUGAUCAGCCACACUGGAACUGAGACACGGUCCAGACUCCUACGGGAGGCAGCAGUGGGGAAUAUUGGACAAUGGGCGCAAGCCUGAUCCAGCCAUACCGCGUGGGUGAAGAAGGCCUUCGGGUUGUAAAGCCCUUUUGUUGGGAAAGAAAGGCAGCAGGUUAAUACCCCGCUGUUCUGACGGUACCCAAAGAAUAAGCACCGGCUAACUUCGUG
rnacentral:rRNA from 1 species